UGGGGAAUAUUGCACAAUGGGGGAAACCCUGAUGCAGCGACGCCGCGUGAACGAAGAAGGUAUUCGUACCGUAAAGUUCUGUCCUAUGGGAAGAUAAGGACAGAACCAUAGAAGAAACCUCCGGCUAAAUACGUGCCAGCAGCCGCGGUAAUACGUAUGGAGCGAGCGUUUUCCGGAAUUAUUGGGCGUAAAGGGUACGCAGGCGGUUUAAUAAGUCGAAUGUUAAAGAUCGGGGCUCAACCCCGCAAAGCAUUGGAAACUGAUAAACUUGAGUAGUGGAGAGGAAAGUGGAAUUCCUAGUGUAGUGGUGAAAUACGUAGAUAUUAGGAGGAAUACCAGUAGCGAAGGCGACUUUCUGGACACAAACUGACGCUGAGGUACGAAAGCGUGGGGAGCAAACAGG
rnacentral:rRNA from 1 species